rnacentral:rRNA from 1 species
AUUGAACGCUGGCGGUAUGCUUAACACAUGCAAGUCGAACGGUAACAGGCCUUCGGGCGCUGACAAGUGGCGGACGGGUGAGUAACGCGUAGGAAUCUGCCUUAUAGUGGGGGACAACGUGGGGAAACUCACGCUAAUACCGCAUACGCCCUACGGGGGAAAGCGGGGGAUCGUAAGACCUCGCGCUAUGAGAUGAGCCUGCGUUAGAUUAGCUAGUUGGUAGGGUAAAGGCCUACCAAGGCGACGAUCUAUAGCUGGUCUGAGAGGACGAUCAGCCACACUGGGACUGAGACACGGCCCAGACUCCUACGGGAGGCAGCAGUGGGGAAUAUUGGACAAUGGGCGCAAGCCUGAUCCAGCAAUACCGCGUGUGUGAAGAAGGCCUUAGGGUUGUAAAGCACUUUCAAUGGGGAGGAAAACCUGCCGGUCAAUACCCGGUAGCUUGACAUUACCUAUAGAAGAAGCACCGGCUAACUCCGUGCCAGCAGCCGCGGUAAUACGGAGGGUGCGAGCGUUAAUCGGAAUUACUGGGCGUAAAGCGUGCGUAGGCGGCUCGUUAAGUCAGAUGUGAAAGCCCUGGGCUCAACCUGGGAACUGCAUUUGAAACUGGCGAGCUAGAGUUGAGUAGAGGGGAGUGGAAUUUCAGGUGUAGCGGUGAAAUGCGUAGAUAUCUGAAGGAACACCAGUGGCGAAGGCGACUCCCUGGACUCAAACUGACGCUGAGGUACGAAAGCGUGGGUAGCAAACAGGAUUAGAUACCCUGGUAGUCCACGCUGUAAACGAUGUCAACUAGCCGUUGGUCCUAUUUACAGGAUUAGUGGCGCAGCUAACGCAUUAAGUUGACCGCCUGGGGAGUACGGCCGCAAGGUUA